UGUUGCAAUUUUGAAACACAACUGCAGCAUUCCCAAAUAUGAAAUCCACAGUCCCAUAUAUAUCGCAUCCUCUAUAGAACUGUCGCUCAGAGUAAGUGUAGAGAGUAUCUUGGUACCCUUCAAAGCUACAUUGGUAAUACACUGAGAGGUCAGACCCGGAUCGUAGAGCCACUGACUGGUGGUUGGAUGCUCCAGCGGUGUUACGGAAUGUCAUGCCACGAGCUAUGAAGCCAUCUCCAACCACAGCUGAAAUUCAAAACCACAAUCACAUGUCUUAGCGAUUAACAUAAUGCUUAUAGGUGACCCUUAAUACGAAGUACACAAUUCAAAUCAAUCUCUCAAAUUCUUAAUUGUGUGUAAGACAUGGAAUAACAUCAAUGUAAGAGCUUAGAGAAUAGACACUUACCAACUGUAGCUGACUUGAAUGUAGUAGAGCCUCCCCCCACACUCUUACUUCCGGUAACUAUGGUCUUUCCAAUUCCAUCACCCACCAACAUUAUAUUCUUCAAACCGCUUCCAAUUUGAACAUUCUCACUAUAUGUCCCUGCCUUCACAUAUAUCACAUGCCUUCCACUUCCUGAUCGCUUGGAUGCUGCAGUGAUUGCUGCUCCGAUUGUCGUGUAAUCCCCUGAGCCAUCUUUUGACACCACAAUAUUCGCCUGCGAAGCCAGUGAAGAAGACUGCAAAAGCUUUCGGUCACCAGGUUUCACCCAAGUUGGGUAACCCCCUUUGUAACUAGGCUCGGCAUAUGGAACUUUGUUGAUGGAUAGAGUGUUACUAAUCAACUUGGAAACAUUGUUGGACAUUGAGGGCAAAAGGUAGUCUGACACACCAAGCUCGAUGAACCCGUCUUGGCAUGUUUGGAGGUUGGUAAGAGCAGUGCUGAGCCAUGUUUGAGCGUCAACUUGGGUGCACCUAGUGUUGGGAUCAAGAGUUUUAUUGAGCUUAAGAAUGGUGUGCUCGUAGAGCUCAAGACAAUCAUUCCACGCAGCCUUUUCUCACUCAUUCCGACACUUGGAGCCUAGGGAAAGGGUGUCACCAUGAGCAAUUAUGGCACGUUCUAAAGCAAGUUGCAUUGAUAAGUUGAGAAAAUCGGACUUUUGUUUGAUGAGGGAUUGAUCAGUCUUUUGGCUCAAAAAGUAGUCACAAGGUUGAGGGUUGGGUGUAGGAAUGGCAAUUUCGUGGGUUUCCCAGGUCACCCGCCCCUAUUGGGACGGGUAUAGGAACAUGGCAAUCGGGGAUGGGCCGGGUUCAGGAUUUUUUUUAAAACCCGAAUCGGGUUCGGGGCGGGGUCGGGUGUAGUUAUAAUUUGACCCGCCCCGCCCCGCCCCGAAUAUGAAAUUACUACUUUACCCCCACUUAUAAAUAUUAGCUUCCUCUCCUCAUUUUAGGUCUUCUUCUCUCAGUUCUCAUUCCUAUCGAUGCUAGGGUUUUUCCUCCCACUCAAUGGAGAAAUCCAUCAAAUAAUCCAUUCGAAAAUCCAUUUCCUCUCGAUUCAUCCUUGAAUCCGUUUCUUGCGAAUCUUAAUAGGGGCUAAGCAGAUCUUAUCGUCAAAGCCAUUGAUUCCUUUAAAUCAAUCAAAUGCUUCAAUCUUCCGGACACACACACGCUCUCUGCUUGGAUCUGUUUCUUUCUCUCUCAAAGAAAUGGCUCUGAGGUCUCUGGAUAAUGCUCUCCCGACAACACCGGAAAGGCCCAAAAAGCAAGUGAAAGUUGCAGUUUCAAUUCAGAAACAGUCUGAUUUUGGUGUGAAUGAUGAGAACAAAGCUCCAUUGCCACCAACUGCAGAUGCCACCAUUGACUACAUCUCUUCUGAGAAUCUUAAAGCCAUGCCUGACCCAGAAACCCAGAUAACUGUAAGUCUCCCUCUCUCAGUGGCUCCUCUAGAGGGAAACUUUACUUGUGAUUUGAGUUAAUUGUGUGUAUUUCGUUUGGAAAUGAAGGGUUUGACUGAGGGAUUGGAUUCCAAGGAUUGGGCCAAGGUGUGUGAAUCUCUGAACGACGCUAGGCGGUUUGCGCUGUAUCAUUCCGCUCUGAUGGCACCGAUCUUGUAAGGGAAUUUCUAAUUUUGAAAUGUUUUUCGGAAAAUGAAGAUAGGGGUCGGCUGAUGUUUGUGGUGUUUGCAGAGAAAAAGUGAUGUUGGUGCUGGUGAAGGCCAUGAAGAACCUUAGAAGUGCUCUGUCCAAGACCUCUAUCAUGGCUUCAACUGAUAUCUUCAAUACUUUUGGUGAUGAGUUGCUUCAGCCCCGCCCCGCCCCAACAACACAUACCCGGGUCGGGACGGGCCAGGGCUGGGAUUUAAUUUUAACUCUAUAACGGGGAUGGGAAUGCCCCGCCCCGCCCCGCCCCGGGUUUGGGACGGGUUUGGGAAAUAACUAAAUAUUUUGGGACGGGAAUGGGAUAGGGGUGACCCGUCCCAAACCCGCCCGUUGCCAUUCCUAGUUGGGUGUCUGGCUGCACCAUGAUUUUACAUCAUCGAAGGAGUAAACAGAGAUGAGAGGAGUAAGGAGGGACAGGAGUACAAGAGCUAUAAAAGCCAUGGCUACAGGCUUUGAGUGAUGAACAAUGGAUGUAAUGAAAUGGGGUGAGUUUGGUAGGUAGCUUAGGGCUUUUGAUGAAGGUUUGUGUGGGGAUGAUGGCUUCAAUGGUUGCUUGAUAUAGAGGCAGUAGCAAUGGGGAUAUGUGGCUUUGAGCAGGCAAUAUCAAGUUUGAUUAUAUCUUCAUACAGAGGGAGGAAUUAAUGUUUAGGAUGUAGCUAGCAUUAUUGACCUUUUCAUGCAGAAUAUAUGUGUAUAUGUUGACCAGUUGAAAAAGAGGAGGAAACCAGGGAAGGUCAUGCAUGGAACGCUUUCAUCCUCACCUUCUUGUAGUGUGGGCCAGCAGACAAUAUCAAGUGGACGAUACAACCAGCUGGUCAAAGGAUUGGCAUGGAUCUACGUGCCCAUUGUUUCAUUUGGUUCAGAGUCACGCUACCUUAAUGAAUAUUUGGAAAUAUAAAAAUCAGCAUGCAUGUCUGUAAUACUUUUGAAAUCAAUGCUCCACUGUUACAGAGCCUACUUUUCUGAAUAUCACUUUUCAAGAGCCAAAACAUUAUCCUCUAUAGAGUUUAAUCAUGGUCAACAGCGACUCGCUUUCAGCUAAACUUUUGAGGGAGCCAGUUCCAUGCCUAACCUGGCUAGAAAAUUAAAUUUAAACCAGUAGUAUGAAAGACGGCGUCACCUUAAUUUCAGAAAACUAUGCAUGCAAAACACGAUGACAAACACCAAUUUUCUUCAGUACUUGUGCCCCUUUGACUCUCAAAUUUUUAUUAUUAUGUCACGUGCAUGUGACCUGGCCCCAUAUAUAUGGUUAAUUGAGCCAUCCAGACGUGACCCCCUUUGGCUAACAAUUAAAUCCUUCAGAAGACUUGAGAGGAAAAGUAUAACGCUUUAGGAAUCUGUGUUCUACUUUCAUUUGCAAGGAAGAUGUUAGACAUCACAUAUUAUAAGUCGAAUAUUAUUUAAAUUUGCAGGAUUUUGACAUGGGUUCGGUCUAAUCAUUCAAAACCUUCAUUGCAUUGGACCCAGAAAAUGUUGGCAUAUUCAUUUGUGACAUCAUUAUUAGUAUACUUUUUAAAUUUAUUUCCUUUAUUUUAAAAAUUAUUUUGUGAUGCAUGAGAUUAACUUUUAUUUAUAUUGAAUUCUGGUUCUUCUAGAUAUGUGUCAAUAUUCAACAUAUUCAACAUUUUUAGUAAUUAUUAAUACAAAAAUAGAAAGUAUUAAUAAAUAUUAUUUGGAGAAAGUUUCCUUUAAUUUUUAUUAUUAAUAAAUAAUAAAAUCUAUUGGUCCCAAUUCGGAUAAACGUACUAAAUUAACAACUUUGUUAAAUUCAUAAAAUAAUAAUAUUUUAGAAAUUUAUAAGCCCAAAGAAGUAUAAAUUAAUAAUUAAUAAAAUACAUAAUAGACAUUUAACAUCGGAGUAAGUUUCCUUUAAUUUUAGUUUAUGUUCAGCCAUAGACAUUAGAAUAAAUACAUGAGUAAAUAGAAGUUCAUAAAAUAGUAUUAACUAAUUUUUUAUAACUUCUAUCUUUCUAGAUUGACUUCUUCUACAUGUAAUCACACACUUGAAGCCUCUUUUAUUUAAGAAUAUUUUUAUCUUUUAACUAUUUUUUAAUUUUUGAAAUUCUUUACGUUUCUAUAUAUGAAGUUUUCACCACAUUCAUUGUUUGUAUAUUUAUAAAUCAUACGUGUACAAGAAUGAGCAAUAGAACUAUAAUACUCUUUAUAAAUUCAUAAAUAUUCAUUUAUCAAUAGAUUAAUAAAUUAUUCAUUUAUCCAUAAAUUAAUAAGCUCAUUAAGAUAAUAAUUUCUCUUGAUUCCAAGUAUUAUUUUAUAAGGGCUUAUGCAGGAGUAUUAGGGCCACUAGUCUAUAUGAAGAAUAUAAAAUUUUAAUAAUAAUGAUUCUACCAAAUAUUCUUUUAUAAGAAGCUCUUAAUCCCAAUCAACUUCCCUUAAGACCAUAUUUGGCACACAAGAGCGAGAAUCGAAAUGGACAUCACAUUCUUUUUUUCAUCCAUUCUAUAUUUAGAUCAUUAAUUCCCUUAAUACUAGUUAUUUUUAAAUAAACUUUUCAGAAAAUAAAAGGUCAAAAACUUAUUUGAAUAAAUUGUUUUUAAAACUAGUUUUUUAUUUUGUUUUUGUAGAAAAAUUAUAUAUUGAAUUUAUAUAAUAUAAACUAAAUUUAAUUCAUUUCUUAUUAAAAAUAAAAAAUAAUUUUUAAUUAAAAAUAAAUUUAAAAAUUAAAUAUUUUUUAAUAAAAUAUGAAUAUUAAUAUUAUAAUAAAAAUUAUAAAUUAUAUUUUUUAUAAAUAUUAGAAAAAUACGGAUAUUAACAUUCUCAUAAAAGUAUAAUUGAUUUAUUUUGUUAAAAAUAAAUAAUAAUAAUAAUAAUAAUAAUAAUCUAAAAUUAAUAAUUCCUAAUAUUAUUUUAUUUUAAUUUUUUAAAGUAUAAAUGAAUUAAGUUUUUUCAUUACAUGCAUAUAUUUAGUACUCAAUUAUGAAUAGAGUAUUGUAAAAAAUUUUAUUUAAUUUGUAAUUAAUUAAUCAAUUUUUUGAAUUCCAAACUAUUUUUAAAAUUUAUUUUAAAUUAUAUAGUUUGAGAGUUUUUUUUAAAUGAAAAUACAUAACUAUUUUAAACUAUAUGAAUAAUAUUAUUGUCAAUUUAUUUCUUUUUCUAUUUUUUUUCUCAUUGUUACAUAACAUUCAAAUGAAAACAAAUAAUUAUUCCAACCUUACACUCCUAGUGUAUCCAAAUACAAAAAUUCAAAUCACCAAAUUCAUUCUUACUCAAAAAAAAAAAAAAAAAGAUAGAAACAAAAUAUUCAUUCUCAUUAUGAUUUCUAUGUACCAAACAUUGUUCGAAAGUAAGCCUCAUUCUUGAAAGUUUGACAAAAGAAAGAAAUCAACUUUUAACUCUCUUCAGAAUUACAAUAUUAUGUUGAAACUUCUUUUUUAAUAAGAAUGUUGAUAAUGUUUUUCAUAUUUUAAUAAGAAAUUGUUAAACUAUUAAUUUUUAUAAAAGCUUACCUUGAUAGGAUUUGGGUUCAUAUUAAUGUAUAUUAUGUUCUUUAACAAAAUUAUGAUCCACAACUAAUUACUAGGCUAAUUAUAUCAAUGCUACAAGCUCUCAUGCAUGUGUACAACCAAUUGGGAGAAAGCAAUAAUAAGUACUCAAGAAAAUAAGGUGAAAGAAGUAUUAGUAGACAUAGAAAUAAUCCAACUUAAUAAUGAUGAGAAUGAUAAUAAUAAUGUAUGAAAAUAAAUGUUUUUAUAUUCGAACUAAUCAUUGAAUCAGAAAAGUUACCAAUUUACAAUUUAUUAGUUGAACCGAUGCUCAAAUUGGUGAUAUCAUAAAUAUAUAAUUUACAUAUUAUUAAAAUUAGAAUUAUUAUAUAAAUUUUGUAAAUAUAUAAAAAAAAUAAAAAUCAAUAAUAUAUAUUUUUUCAUCUUUAAUAUUAUCAAAUUAAUAUAUAGAUGUAUUAAUUUAUAUAUAUAUAUAUAUAUAUAUAUAUAUAUAUAUAUAUAUAUAUAUAUAUAUAUCCUAUUAUUGAAAAUUUAUAUAUCCUAUUAUUUACUUAUAUUAUUUACAUUUUUAUUAUUAUAAAAAUUUUGAAAAGAAGUUUGUCAUAUAAUUUAUUGUUGUUUAUAUAUGUGCAUAAAGCAAAGACGACAUAGUGGUGUUUUUUAUUGUUGUCUAUCGUUGUUUAUAUUGAACUUUAUAAUUUAAAAAUUCUCCAAGUAAGAGCACAGUUGAGUUAGUUUAAUUAACGAUAUUUUUCUAGAAAUAAGGAACCCCUAUCCUCAGCACUUUUUUUUCAAAUUUUGUUAAGCCAAAAUUUAGCUCAAGUUCCCAUAGUUUUUCCUUUGUUUUGCAAAAAAAUCUCAUUCAUCUUCCAAGUCUUUCCAUUUCUCCACCAUCCUAAGGUCACCUCCUUGAGGUUCAACACUCGGCUAACCAAGAUUUUAAAAAUACAACCAACUCGCUAUACUUGGGAACCACAUUUUAAGAUACACGUACAUUUGGGAGCAAAAACAUAGGUCUUUCGACUAUGCACGAUGUUGAUUAGAGAUUUGUUGAUUAGCAUGUUUCGUUUGACUAUUUGUAUGACUUGUAAACUGUAUUUGAUAGUACUGGAGAGUUUAUUAAUCACUGUUAGUCAAAUUAAUUAGCUAGAUCUUUGUGGUCCAUUAGGGUUUGCCUUCAUAUGUUGAAAAUUAACUAUUAUAAAAAUAAUUUAUGUGUCAUUAUUUAUGGUGUCACUUUUAAAAUAAUGACAUCAUAGGUCCAUAAAGGUAACACAUCAUAUAAAAAAUUUCAAUUAGAAUAGAUGGUGUUAAUUUUAGAUUUAUAGUGUUAUUUUUCGAAAAGUGACACCAUAUAAAUAUAAUUUUUUAAAUAUCAUAACUUAGAAUAAUGAUGUAUAUAAAAAAAGCUCAUUGUUUCCACAUACCCAUAAUCCAAAAAAUCUCAUUCCAUAACCCUAACCAUAAUUUUCUUCUGCCUCUUCUCACACUCAUAGUUAAGAUAGAACUGUUCUUCUCUACUUCGUAGACACUCAUGUAAUCCAAAAUCUCUUAAAUCUAUCAUUUUCAUUUUUUUAUUAAUGUCAAAAACCUUUAUUAGUACAACUAAUAUAUAUUCAUUCAUUUUGUAUAUAUGUAAUAUGGAUUGUGUAAAUGGUGUUUUUUUAUUGAGUUAUAGGAGAAUAAAAACUAAGUUUAACAUUAUACUAAAUCUUUUGUUUCAUUGUUAAACCCAUAAAUCACAAAACGAAAGAAAAAAAAAAUGAAUGAUUUUUUAAUAGUUGUCAUACUCAGAAUGAGAGAUAAACAUUUUGCAGUAUUAAGUUCUCUUUUCAUCUUGUAGGAAAUUUCAUUUGAUGAGACUUUCUAUUUGUUUUCUAGGAAUAUUAUAGUAUAAUGUGAUGAGGAUAUUGAUCGGUGAUAUUUGAAAAAUAAUUUUUAAGAAAAUUAUUCUCAAUAUUAUUAUCUUCUACAAAAGGAAAAAUGAAAUAAUACUUUUCAUAUCAUGUUGGAGUCGGUUUGAAAAGUUGGAAUUAACAAUGAGAAAUUAAUUUUAUUUUUUAUUUAUUAAUGUAAAUGAAUUGUUUUUUAAAAUUUAAAUAGGAAUGAAAUUUUUUAUGAUUAUAAAAAUGGUUCAUCUCUCAUCUUGUUCUAUUCAUAUUUUUUCUAUCCUAAAAAUAUUUCUUUUUUUUUAUGUUGACCAAACUUUAGAGUAAUUUGAGGUUGAUGAUGAAAUUUCCCUUUCAGGAAAUUUCUAUAAAAUCCUUUUAUUACAUAAUUUUUUUUCAUUCCUUCUAUAAAACUCACCAUUUUUUUAGAAGAAGAAGAAGAAGAUGUUUGAUAAUUUUAUUUUAAUCUUCUAUGAAAUUUCCUUUUAUCAAAUUGUUUGUUUAUUUUCUAAAAAUAUUAUAGUAUGUUGUGAUGGGGAUAUUGGUUGGUGAUAUUUGAAAAAUAAUUUUUAAGAAAAUUAUUUUGUAUGUCAUCUACCGCAAAAGGAAAAAUGAAAUAGUUUUCAUAUCAUGUGUAUGAAAAUAUUUGGAGUCAGUUUGGAAGAUUGAAAUUCACAAUGAGAAUUAAUUUUAUUUUUUAUUUAUUAAUGUAAUUUUUUUUAAAAUUAAAAAAUGAAUGAAAAUUUUAUGAUUAUAAAAAAUAAAAUAUUAUAUUUUGAUUUUUUUUUUCUAUUUUUUUUUUUUACAUGUAUUAUGGUUCAUUUCUCCUCUCAUUCUAUUUUAUUCAUAUUCCUACAUUUGAUUCAUAAUCUAAGGAAAGCAAAAAAAUUAUUUGAUUUUUUUUAAGAUUUUGUUUCAAUCCCAUAUAGAAUUUUCUACAAAAACAAAAGUAUGUAAUUGAAUUUGUUAGUAGGUUUGAUUGGGUUUUUGUAAUAAUAAAUUGAUCAUUUGAUAAAUAAUAUUGAGAUCCAACUAAAAGGAUUAAAUUCUAAAAAUAUGUUUUGUUUUUAUAUGCAUUGACCAAACUUUGGAGUAAUUUGAGAUUAAUGAUAAAAAUUUUCUUCCAAGGUUAAGAAAUUUGUAUAAAAUCCUUUUAUUGCAAAAAAAAUUUCAAUUUCUUCCAUAAAACUCUUCCUUUUUUUCUUUUUUCUCUCUUUUUUUUUUUUUUUUUUUUUAAAAAAAAAAGAUGUUUGAUAAUAUAUUAAUCUAAAGAAUAUUAAAAGUAAAAAAAAAAUUAAAAUAUUGAAUAUCCUUCCUUUGAUUUUUUAUUUUUUUUAUUUUUUAUUAGAACAUAUUUUUCAUAUCCAAAUUUUUUAAUAAUUAUUUUAAUUAGAAAAAAGCAAUAUCAAUUGGAGUUGUGGCUGAAAAAUCAAUAGUUUUUAUGAAAGGUUUGUAAUUCUUUCUCAUACUAAUUUUUCUCUUAAAAUUUUUUAAUAAUAAAUUAGGUUUUUUUUUACUUAUAUACACAAUUUUCAUGCUUGUUAUUAUAUCAUUUUAUCUUAUAUAAUUUAGAUGAAAUUUAAUGAACAUUGUUAUUUCACAAAAUGAACAUUCAAAAAAUAUUGAAAUUAAGAAAAUCCUUCCAAGAAAUAAUAUAUAUAUAUAUAUAUAUAAAGAAUUAGAUGUUAAAAAUGAUUUUUAAAAGCAUGAUAAAUUAUAAAAAAAUAAAUUAAAAAAAGUACAGAUUUUAGUUUUAUGUUAUUUUUUAUUCUCUUGAAUUGUUUUUAUCUGAGUUCAUAUAGGACUACUUUGUUAGAGGAUUCAUUAAAAGGAUAAUUGUUGCAUUAAAGGUUUUACUUAUUUAAUGAAUUGUACAUAGUUUUAUACUUCCAAUUAUUGUGAUAUUGAUAUUAUCCUCAUUUGAUUUUAGUUUGAUGAUAAAAAAUUAAAAAAAAAAAAAAAAACAUAUUCUCAAGUAGAAUUCGAUGAAAUUAUAGGAUAAUUGGCUAAUUCUGUGUUAUAACUAAUCAUGAAUCAUAUUAAUUUAUCAUGAUCAUGCAUGGUGAGUCCCUUAAUAUGAAUUUUCCAUUGGUAUUGUUUAGCAUUACUUAUUCUUUAAAAACUAUUUUAUAUCAAAAUGGGAAAAAGAAAAAAGAAAAUAUUAGUACUUUCAUUUGUUUAUUUUUUAUAACAUCAAUUAAUCUUUAUUUUCAAUAAGAACUCUAAAACUCAUUAAACUAUGAAAUACAGGUAUAUACUGUUGGGAGGAUGAUAUGGAGAAUAAAAAGAAAGGAGAAAGAGGCAACAAGAUUUGGGUUUCUAGAUGUGACUCUUAUGUCAUACAUUGUAGGACAUAAACGUUACUUUAAUUUGUAUUGAGAAUUUUGGAUUUUUGGAUGCAACUAUUGUAUCAUUUUAUGGUUAGCUGGUUUUAUGCAUAUGAAAUGCAAGUAUACAUAAAUGUUGGGAUGUUUAACAUUUUUAAAUCAUGUUUUAAUAUGUAUUCACUUUUCUUUUUAGUUUUGGUAGGUUUGAUGUGUUUAAUGUACUAUCCUUUUGUGAACAUUUGAUAUACAAAUAUUAUUGGAUAGUGUAAUGUAUUACAAAUUAAUCCAUAAGCAUUACAAAAAUAUAGUUAAAUAUGAUAUAAUUAUUAUAUUCAUGGACAAAAUAUACACUGGUUGAUCUUAUUUCUUAAUAAACAUUACAAAAAUCUACAGGUUAAUCAACAAAAAAAUAAUUAGAUCUUCCAUAAUCAUUUACAAUUAUGUGACAUCAUAACUCAAAUGUAAUACAUUUAACAUGACACCAUAACUCAAAGGUGAUGCAUUUAAUAGGACACCCUAUAUAUCUCACACAGCUCCAUAUCAAAUUAAUCAUCAUUAGAAAUAUAUAGUGUCGCUCCUCAAUACAUCACCAUUAAUCUAUUUUGGUGUCACUUCCAAAUACAUCACCAAUCAAUACCCUUUAUAGUGUUAGUGGGUAAGAUGACACUCUACAUUGAGCCUUAAUAUGAGAUUAUCAUUAUCCUACUAAGCAUUCCUAGAACUCUCAAGAAAUGAAUUUGUAUUCAAGGUAGUAAGAGGUGGUUACUCGUAUCCUCUCAAGAAAUUGAGAUGUCUACUAGGUACCACAAGGUGCUAAGUCACCAUUGUAAAAAUAAAGUACAGGUAUUGGUCAGUGCAAGUUUCUUGGAAGAAGGUAGUGUGUAGUUCGAGUUAACCUAUAUAUUUGAUUUUCAUAUUUAAUGGAUUCUUUAUGCAAUCAAUAAAAUCAUGGUUUUUACAUUUGUAGGUUUUUUGUGAGAUUAUGUAGAUGAUUUUUCAUGUAAAUCACUAAUAUUAUGAUACAACUGAAUUUUUAUUCAUAUCCCUAGAUAUUUUGAAUUGGUCAAAAAAGUAAAAAAUUAAAUUUAUUUAAAUUUUGAAUUUUAGGCUUUAAACUCAACACCAUUAACCCUAUAUAUAGAUACAUAGUUUCACAAACCAAGUUAAAGACUUUCAAAUCAAAUCCAGGGAAUCAGAAGAUGAAAGCUUCUCAAAUCACGAUGUGAGAAUUAUCUUAUUAAAACUCAAAGAAGAUUAGUGACUCACAAAAAGAAUGUAAUUUCAUUCAAUAUCAUUCUUUACAACAAUGAAUAAAGAAUCAUAACUCACAAUUUGUAGUAAGGUACAAUGAAACAAAUGUAGCAAGUAGACGACACAAUGAAACCAAGUGUUUAGGCUUUUAGGGAUCAUUACCAUAUUCCCCCACCAAUUUGAUUUUCCUUCUAUGAGGAAUUCAAAUUAGCUAGAUUUAGCACCAUUUCUAUGGAAGGAUGAUAGAAUAUCAUGUGCUAUUAAUUGGAUCUAUUCAAAGGCCAGAAGUGAAAGGAACGUUGGUAGAUGGUAACCAGGAAUUGCCGGAGAUGAAGUUACCAGUCAUGAACUUUGCUGCUUCAGUUGAGCUAGUAAUCACAUUUCUUGAAUAUAUUUGAGUCUUGCAAAAGUGUUUUUGAGUGCACCAUUGUUCUAAAACUUUCAUAUCUUUAGUGCACCAUUCAAUCCUAGUUUACUUGUAUCAUUUGAGCCUAAAAUUUUAUACUAAGGGUUUGUGAAAUUAUUUAUAUAUCUUUGAGAGGAAUAAUCUAAGUGUGAGGUAUCACUUAGGGAUUCUCAAGUGAGGAGUAUCACUGGAGGGGUUGUCCAAGAGUGAGGUAUCUCUUGAGAAGUGUAAAUGGUGCUUGGAGCCAAAAGUCUAAGAUGGUGGAUUGGAACCAUAAUCCAAUUGUAUUACUUGAAGGCUUGGUUUGAAGCUUUGAAUUAGUGGAACCUCAAACUUGGGGUUGAAGCUAGAAGAGAGUGGAUGUAGAUCAAGUUGCGCCGAACCAAUAUAAAAAUCUUGUAUUUGCAUUCUCUCUUCCCUACUCCUUUACUUUAUAUGCAAUUGCCUUUACAUUGUUUUAUUAUAUACUUGCAUAUAUUUGUCUCUAACAUUCACAUAGUUUAAAUUUACAAAAAGAGACUAUCACCCUAUUCACCUCCCCUUUGAGGUGAUUACCAUAAGUUGGAUUAACCUAAUUUUUCUAACAUAUAGCAUUACUUAUUCUUUAAAAACUAUUUUAUAUCAAAAUGGGAAAAAGAAAAAAGAAAAUAUUAGUAGUUACAUUUGUUUAUUUUUUAUAACAUCAAUUAAUCUUUAUUUUCAAUAAGAACUCUAAAACUCAUUAAACUAUGAAAUACAGGUAUAUACUCCUAGGAGGAUGUUAUGGAGAAUAAAAAGAAAGGAGAAAUAGGCAACAAGAUAUGAGUUUUUAGAUGUGACUCUUAUGUCAUACAUUGUAGGAUAUAAACGUUACUUUAAUUUGUAUUGAGAAUUUUGGAUUUUUUGGUGCAACUCUUGUGUCAUUUUAUGGUUAGCUGGUUUUAUGCAUAUGAAAUGCAAGUAUACAUAAAUGUUGGAAUGUUUAACAUUUCUAAAUCAUGUUUUAAUGUGUAUUCACUUUUCUUUUUAGUUUUGGUAGGUUUGAUGUGUUUAAUGUAAUGUUUUUAGAACCGGACUGAUUCUUGAACCGAAAAAGUUACCAUUUCACGGUUCACUGGUCGAACCGGUGGUUGAACUAAUGACUUCAUAAAUAUAUAAUUUAUAAAUUAUUAAAAUUUAAAAUAAUCAUAAAAAUUAAAAUAGUAAUUUAUAUAUUAUUUAAAAAUCAGAAAAUUAGUUUCAAAUUAGAAAUUAAAAUGAAAAUCAUAAUUUUAAUUUAAAAUUUAAAUUUUUAAUAUUUAUUUUUAAAUAAAAAACUUAUUUUAAAAUUAGAAAUUAAUUUAAAAUGGUAAUGUUUUUACCAUUAAAUCAUAUCUCAUACUGUCAUACAUAUAAAAGGCAUUUUUUUAUUUUUACUUUAUCAACUCCCCCUGCACAGCAUUAUUAUUGUGAAGACCCACAAACAACGACACCACUAGAGAGGGAGCAAUCUGACUGUGAGGGGUUGCCUUGCCAACAUUAACAAGUCACCACCGCUGACACCAAAGCUUCUCUUUUCGGUAAUACUCGAUUUUUGGGAAAAUCAGGUAAAUCCUAAAUUAUGUCAUCAUCCUUGAUUACUACCAAAAAGUGCUAUUUUGUAGACCUAAUUAUAAUGGUUUUAAGCACCUUUGAGUAGUAAUCAUAUUCAUUUAACCCAAUUAAUUCAUUAAGGUCCUUAGUAAUUGGUUUUAACCAUUUUGUGGCAAGUUUACAUGUUUUUAUCAGCUUAUGAAUCAAUUCAAGCAUGCCAAAUGAUGGAGGAGCUACUUGGACAAGUUAUGGAAAAGCUUUUGGAAGCUCAAAUUCAUGAAGAACCAAGCUUUGGAGCUCCAUAGCCCUUUUCCAAAGUCGUUCAAAGUAUGCAAGGAAAGAGCAAGGAGAGAGGAAAAACAGAGUGAAGAAAACAGAGGAAAGCCAGUUGCAGUCUUCUUGUGCACUUUUGGAGCACUUCCCAAGUCCAUUUUCUACAUUCUAUAUACCAUUUGAAAGCUCAGGAAGUCAAGAAUCCAAUGCUUCAAACGGUGCACGAUUCGGAGUUGAAACGAAGAAGUUACAGCCACUGCAAGUCAAUCACUCUAAAGUGUUGCGAAAUCAGCCUUUUGUUGCGAGAAUUUCGCAGCCUUUUUGUACAGUGCUAUGGAAUUCCUCCUGAAGCUACCCGAUACAUGCCGCAAGCUGGAACGCUGAGAACCUCAAGGUGGAAUCCAACUUCGUAGCGGGGCGAGUUUAACUUGUUGUUGCGAAAAUAUUUCGCAGCCCUCUUGAGUGUCUGCGAAAUCUCGCAAACACCAUUUUUCACCUGCGAAAUGUUCCUGGAGCUUCCCGAUAUUUUUGCACCGACUCUUUUGGAUAUUUUUCUUCAGAUAUGUUUGUAUAAUUUCCAUUUUCUCCUUGUAUUCAACCACUCAUGUAAUUCCUUAGCUAGGAAGUAUCCAAGGAGGGGUAAAUUACCUUCCUAUAUAAACUCUCUUGUAAACACUCUCAGGAGACGCUCGGGGAAGUAUGUAAUAUAUAGAUAUAUCAUAUAUAGAAUCAAGGAACAGAGCACUUGCUCUGUUUUUCAUAUAUAUUUCUGCCUUCUCUUUCAUUUUUCAUUUCUUUUUAUUUCUAGCCAACCAAACUUUGAGGAUUUUUCCUCAGAGGAUGAGAGGCUAAGCUUUUUGUCUCUUGGAGUGAGGAAAGCCGGGUAAGUUUCCACAUGCAUAAUUUGGAAGUUUUGUUGUUUUAGUUUUUAAUGAAGAGAAAGUGUGACCCGUUAGUGAUUUCUAUGUUUUUAGUUAACUUAAAACGCCUUUAAAUCACCUGGGCCAACACUUGGUAAGGCAAGUGAUCUCCGUCCAUGGAGAUUCACUAGUUUAUCUCUUGCGAGCCUUUGUGAGGUGACUUGAAGGUAGGAUUUUCUAGAAUAGCCAACACUUGGUAAGCUUUUGGACUCCAAGGAGACAUCCAUUAGUUAUCUCUUGCGAGCUUUUGAAGGGAAGUCCAAGGUUAAAGAUCAUCUUGAAUGGUAAGUGCUCGUGAGAGGCAUGAACCAUUGCAAGUUGCAUCAGUGAGAGGGAUUUAGUGUUUGAACCCAUUAAUGGAAAGCAUCUGUACAACACCGGUUGGAGAAGGAACUAUAUGUUAAUUCUCUAAUGCGAGGAAAAGAAACAAGUGACCGGAACUCUCCUUUUUGUAUGAGGAACCUGAGCCUAGUGAUCUGAACUCCAAGAAACACUUUUCUUUGUAAGUAAAAUCAGUUACUAUUUUUGGUUAGUUUAAAACCAAACCUUUUUUUCAUUCAAACAUCUUUAUGUUUUCUUUUAAAGCUAACCUUAAAAUGAAAAGGCACCAAUUCAGCUUUGAAUUAAUAUCAUUUGCAAAGUGAAAACCCAUCCCAGUGAACGAUCCUAGAGCCACUAUACUAUAGUAGCUUUGUCUUUGCUACCCUAGUAUAUGGUGUAAUAGGUUAUAAAUUUUGUUGAUUACUCCCUCAAUCAAGGAGCACCAGCUGGACAUGAAUCAGCUGAGACACCAAUUGGGCACGAAUCAAAUGGCGCCGUUGCUGGGGAUCGAACCCCGAAUCAGAUGGUGCCAUUGCCACUGCCGCUGCUAGGGACGAAUCAAAUGGCGCCGUUGCCGGGGGUCGAACCCCGAAUCAGAUGGUGCCAUUGCCACUGCCGCUGCUAGGGACGAAUCAAAUGGCGCCGUUGCCAGGGAUCGAACCCCGAAUUAGAUGGUGCCAUUGCCACUGCCGCUGCUAGGGACGAAUCAAAUGGCGCCGUUGCCGGGGAUGGUGCCACUUUACAGUGAUAUCACCUUUUCAGAGUACUUGUGAUCUUCAUCACAAGUUUGGUGACUUUUCUUUUCCUUUUACUAACUCUUUUUAUUUCUUUAUUGUUCAUAUUUUAGUAUACCUUUUAUUUAGUUUUUAGUUUACCUUAAUUUUCUUUCUUUGAAUUGUUUUUCUUUUGUUUUCUUUUGUGUUCUCUGUUUUUAAUUCACAAAUUGCUAGUUGUGCAUGCCAUAUUGAAUACGAGAUAGCAGAGGAAGCCAUGAACUUCAUGAGUUAUGUGGCUGAAGUCUCAAGAGGAUGGGAUGAACCAAAUGCUAGAGAUAUGGAAAGAAUGAUGUCUCAACCUAAAGCUAAGGGUGAGAUGUAUAUUUUGAAUGAUGGUAUGAACAUGAAGGCAGAGAUUGCAGCUAUGGAAAGGAGAUUGGAUGAGCUAGAAAUGAACCAGAUGCAAGAAGUGCAAGCCAUCUCUCAAACACCAUUGCAAGCUAUGCCUUGUGCCAUUUGUCUAUCAUAUGAGCACUUGGUGGAUGAGUGUCCUACCAUUCCAGCCGAGAAGGAAAUGUUAGGUGAUUGCAACACCUACAAUUCCAAUUGGAGGGACCAUCCAAAUUUCUCUUGGAAACCACAGCCACCUCAGUAUCAGCAACCUGCUCAAGCACCACAGCAAGCCUCAAACCUUGAACAAGUUAUGGUGAAUCUUUGCAAGGUAAUGGGAGAUUUUAUUGGAAAGCAAGAAGCCACCAAUGCUCGACUUGAUCAAAGGAUGGAUGGAAUGCAAAAUGAUAUGAAUCAAAAAUUUGAUAACAUCCAGUAUUCAAUCUCCAGGCUCAUAAAUUUGAACACAGUGCAAGAGAAAGAAAACUCUCCUUCUCAACCUUAUCAAAAUUCCAUGAGUAUCCAUGAAGUGGAGGCUCAAGAGGGAGAAUCUUCAAUGGUGAAGGAAGUUGAAGAGGUUAUCACUCUGAGGAGUGGUAAAGAGGUUGAUCUGCCCACAUGCAAGCUAGAGCAUAAGGUAGAGAGUGAAACAGAGAAAGAAAAGAGGGAGGAAAUCAAAGGAAAGAAAAAGGGGAAAAACAUAGAAAAAGAUGGCUAUGAUGUUAAUGUACAUAGAAAAUCACAGAGGAUAGUCAUCAAGGAAGAAAUGAUGAAACACAUGCCUCCGCCUUUUCUCCAAGCUUUGUAUGGCAAAAUCAUACAGAUCACAUCUCAAGUGAGGGAUGCAAACUUCAUAUGGGAUCCGGGCAAGCUAAAUCAGGAGCAAAUUUUUUGAUGGACUUAGUCUUUCUAAAGACUAGCUAGUCCAUAUCUUUUUGUUUUGUUAAUUUCUUGUUUUAAUUUUGAUUUCAAUGCUUUAAUUUUGAUUUCAAUGCUUUAAUUCUAGUUUGUUUUGAUGUAAUAUAGGUUUUUGGAUGAUCAAAAUCAAGAGGAAUUGCAAAGAAAUUGAAGGAAGUCUUUCGGAGAAAAAUCAGAGCAAAAUCGGAGUCAAACGGAGCGAAAACAGAGAAAAAAACAGGGGAAAAACAGGGGUCUGCGAAAUUUCGCAGCCUCUGCGAAAUCGGCACUUUGUUGUGAAACCAGUUCGCAGCCCAAUUGCCCUCUCUGUGAAAUUUUCGCAGCUGCGAAACCAUUUUUGGCACACAAGUGCCACUUCGCAACACAGGAGCCCUCAUUUCGCAGUUGCGAAAGCGGCUGCGAACCACCAAAGCAUGAAAUCCUCCAUUUCGCAGGGAAAGCUCCAUUUGGAAGGGUGUUUCGCAGCUGCGAAGCCAACUUUUGGCACACGAGUGCCAUUUCGCAGCACAGUACCCUCAUUUCGCAGCUGCGAAAAUGACUGCGAAACCCAAAAAAAAAAAAAAAAAAUCAUUUUUUUUGGCAACAAAAGUCCCAUUCCGUAGAGGAUUUCGCGGUUGCGAAAGCACUUUUGGCACACGAGUGCCAUUUCGCAGCACAGUGACCCUCAUUUCGCAGCUGCGAAACGGCUGCGAAGUUCCAAAACGUGAAAAAUCCCAAUUUCACAGCCGCACCCCCAUUUCGGCAAUUGUUGGACACAUUUCGAUCACUUCCCGAAGUUCAAAUUGUGCAUGCAAUAUCUCGUUUCAAAUCUUAGGAAGUCACGAGUCCAUAGCUUCAAACGGUGCUCGAUUUGGAUUUGAAACGGAAAAGUUAUGGCUUUUUGAAGAUGACUGUGCAAACCAUGAGCGGAAAUGUUGCAGCUCCAUUUUGCUACUGUUGGACACAUUUUUGAAGCACUUCCUGGGGAUCAAAUUAUGCAUACGAUAUCUCGUUUCAGAGCUUGGGAAGUCAGGGGUCCAGCGCUUCAAACGGUAUGCGAUUUGGAGGUGAAAUGAAGAAGUUAUGGUCGUUUGAAGACAAGCGCGCAAAGCUGAGCGAGAAUUUUGCAGCCGAGACGCCAUUUGGAAGGGUGUUUCGCAGCUGCGAAACCACUUUUUGGCACACGAGUGCCAUUUGCAGCACAGUUCUCCUCAUUUUGAAGUUGCGAUACACCUGCGAAAUCACUUUUGAGCUACGAAAUGGCUAUGAAAUGAUUUUCAAGCUGCGAAAUGACUAUGAAAUGAUCUCCAAACUUUGAAAUGGCUGCAAAAUCACCUCCAAGCUUAGAAAUGACCUUCAAAUUGCGAAAUUGACUUGUGAAAUGGAGGGUGAUUUACAAAAACACCUUGCAAAGCCAAGGGAAGUUGCUAAAAUGCCAAUAGAGCCCUGCAACCAUGCAUCUGAAGAGGAGAGCCCCGAGCACCUUGAGAUCACACACACAAAGCCUCUCACUCCAUUUCUAACCUCCUAAAACCAUCAAAUCCCAUAGCUCUAGCUGAGAGCUCCAGUUGAGGAGACUAUGCCACCUAAGGAGACUACCAGAAUAGAGGCCAAAGUUCUGAUCCAACCCACUCAAGAGGCCACCACAGACACAUCAGCUCCAUAGGACCCUACCAUUACUUGAUCAUCUUUUUACUUUUUGUCUUUACAUAUUAUAUUAGUAUACAUAGCUCCAUGUUUUGAUGUCUUAUAUUCUGGGAUUGGAUGUAUUACUGAUGAUGCAUCAUAUAUAGACAUCAUUUUUGUAUAAACUUGGCAUUUUUCUAUUUCCUCUACUCACUAACUCUUAUGUUUUCUUUGAAACAUGUGGUUUCUCCUAUACGACUCAGACUCCAUGUUACUCAAGAGGUACCACUUCCUCCCUAUUUUUCAAUCGCUUUUGUCACAUUGAGGACAAUGUUCAGCUUGGUUGGGGGGAGAGUUGAGGAAGUAAGUAUUGUUAAUAAUGCUAAGUUAUUUUGGUAAUUUAGUUGCUUUUUGCUUAAUUUUUAAAAAAUUUUGCUUUAAACUCCAUGGAUAUUAAGGAUUAACUCUCAAAAUUAAAUGAGAGAAGUCGAGUUUCAACUUGAUUACAUGAAUCUUAGAGUUUGUAUUAUGCUUUUCUAAAAGUUGAUGAAUUGUUGAAACUCCAAUUGCAUGCAAACUUAUCUCUUCCACCUUAAGCUAUUCGCACACACAUACAUUAGAUUCCGGUUAUAAGAUGUGAAACUAUCUCACCCUCUAAGCUUGAGAAAUCAUAAUUUGACACCUUUAACCUAUCUUUAAUAGUGUUGGGACACCUCAUAAAGACCAAUGAGUCUUUGGAAAAAAAAAAAAUAGAAUAAACUUCUUUACUUGCCUUGAAACCUGAGCAUGGUCCGAAGGGGUGGCGAAAGCCUUUAAAGCCUGGUGCCCUAAGCCUUUAUUGGUUGGGAGUCACUGAUCCUCUGCUUGUUACAUGGGUGAAUUGGUUAAGUUUAGUAAGUGAAAAGAAUUGUGAAUAAGAGGUGCGUUCCUAGCCUAUCAAGAGAUGGUUAAUUUUGCUAAGAUUAAAGAAAGACUUAGGUUGGGGGGAGAUGAUAUUUAUCCAUACUAUACUCGGAAGCUAAUCAUAUUAACACUUAGCUUUUAAUGGAAGAAUUUGAUUUGGAUCUUUUGAGAGUGGAAAUUCUUUUGAUGCUUAAACUUGCAUAAUAUCCAUUCUUUGUACUCUAUGAUCAAGUGAAUGCUUUGACAACUCUUAUUAUAGGUUGAGUUUCACAUCUUUAUUGAUCCAUGGAUGUCCGUCAUGCCACUCAAUUAUUUUUUAGAGUGAUUUGCAUGAUCCCUUUUAUGUAUAUUAUUAUAGUUUACUUAGUUUUUAUCUCCUCCAUUGCUAAGGGACUAGCAAUGAGUCGGUUGGGGGGUGUGAUUACUACCAAAAAGUGCUAUUUUGUAGACCUAAUUAUAAUGGUUUUAAGCACCUUUGAGUAGUAAUCAUAUUCAUUUAACCCAAUUAAUUCAUUAAGGUCCUUAGUAAUUGGUUUUAACCAUUUUGUGGCAAAUUUACAUGUUUUUAUCAGCUUAUGAAUCAAUUCAAGCAUGCCAAAUGAUGGAGGAGCUACUUGGACAAGUUAUGGAAAAGCUUUUGGAAGCUCAAAUUCAUGAAGAACCAAGCUUUGGAGCUCCAUAGCCCUUUGCCAAAGUCGUUCAAAGUAUGCAAGGAAAGAGCAAGGAGAGAGGAAAAACAGAGUGAAGAAAACAGAGGAAAGCCAGUUGCAGUCUUCUUGUGCACUUUUGGAGCACUUCCCAAGUCCAUUUUCUACAUUCUAUAUACCAUUUGAAAGCUCAGGAAGUCAAGAAUCCAAUGCUUCAAACGGUGCACGAUUCGGAGUUGAAACGAAGAAGUUACAGCCACUACAAGUCAAUCACUCUAAAGUGUUGCGAAAUCAGCCUUUUGUUGCGAGAAUUUCGCAGCCUUUUUGUACAGUGCUAUGGAAUUCCUCCUGAAGCUACCCGAUACAUGCCGCAAGCUGGAACGCUGAGAACCUCAAGGUGGAAUCCAACUUCGCAGCGGGGCGAGUUUAACUUGUUGUUGCGAAAAUAUUUCGCAGCCCUCUUGAGUGUCUGCGAAAUCUCGCAAACACCAUUUUUCACCUGCGAAAUGUUCCUGGAGCUUCCCGAUAUUUUUGCACCAACUCUUUUGGAUAUUUUUCUUCAGAUAUUUUUGUAUAAUUUCCAUUUUCUCCUUGUAUUCAACCACUCAUGUAAUUCCUUAGCUAGGAAGUAUCCAAUGAGGGGUAAAUUACCUUCCUAUAUAAACUCUCUUGUAAACACUCUCAGGAGACGCUCGGGGAAGUAUGUAAUAUAUAGAUAUAUCAUAUAUAGAAUCAAGGAACAGAGCACUUGCUCUGUUUUUCAUAUAUAUUCCUGCCUUCUCUUUCAUUUUUCAUUUCUUUUUAUUUCUAGCCAACCAAACUUUGAGGAUUUUUCCUCAGAGGAUGAGAGGCUAAGCUUUUUGUCUCUUGGAGUGAGGAAAGCCGGGUAAGUUUCCACAUGCAUAAUUUGGAAGUUUUGUUGUUUUAGUUUUUAAUGAAGAGAAAGUGUGACCCGUUAGUGAUUUCUAUGUUUUUAGUUAACUUAAAACGCCUUUAAAUCACCUGGGCCAACACUUGGUAAGGCAAGUGAUCUCCGUCCAUGGAGAUUCACUAGUUUAUCUCUUGCGAGCCUUUGGGAGGUGACUUGAAGGUAGGAUUUUCUAGAAUAGCCAACACUUGGUAAGUUUUUGGACUCCAAGGAGACAUCCAUUAGUUAUCUCUUGCGAGCUUUUGAAGGGAAGUCCAAGGUUAAAGAUCAUCUUGAAUGGUAAGUGCUCGUGAGAGGCAUGAACCAUUGCAAGUUGCAUCAGUGAGAGGGAUUUAGUGUUUGAACCCAUUAAUGGAAAGCAUCUGUACAACACCGGUUGGAGAAGGAACUAUAUGUUAAUUCUCUAAUGCGAGGAAAAGAAACAAGUGACCGAAACUCUCCUUUUUGUAUGAGGAACCUGAGCCUAGUGAUCUGAACUCCAAGAAACACUUUUCUUUGUAAGUAAAAUCAGUUACUAUUUUUGGUUAGUUUAAAACCAAACCUUUUUUUCAUUCAAACAUCUUUAUGUUUUCUUUUAAAGCUAACCUUGAAAUGAAAAGGCACCAAUUCAGCUUUGAAUUAAUAUCAUUUGCAAAGUGAAAACCCAUCCCAGUGAACGAUCCUAGAGCCACUAUACUAUAGUAGCUUUGUCUUUGCUACCCUAGUAUAUGGUGUAAUAGGUUAUAAAUUUUGUUGAUUACUCCCUCAAUCAAGGAGCACCAGCUGGACAUGAAUCAGCUGAGACACCAAUUGGGCACGAAUCAAAUGGCGCCGUUACUGGGGAUCGAACCCCGAAUCAGAUGGUGCCAUUGCCACUGCCGCUGCUAGGGACGAAUCAAUCCUUCGGUGGUUUCUCCUCUUAUUUUCAAACAGGUCACGAGUUGGGUUUUUUCUUCAUCAUCUUCUUUGAUCUUCUAGGUUAAAAGUUCCAAUUUCAUAAUUGGGUGUUUGCUUUUGAAAAGGGAAUUUCUGAUUUUUAUUUUUUAUCUCAAAAAUGUUCUUAUAUGUUAUUGUGAUUGGGAAGAAAAUGAAAAGGUUUGAAAAAAAAUUUGUAACCUAACCAAGUCACGGUCAACUGUGGGUGGGGGAAGAACGUUCUAGAAGAACGAAGAAGAAAGGGAAGACAUCAUUUUGGAAGCCAAGGAAAAAAGUUCAUUUGAACCAUUCGAUUCGUUAAAAACUGGUCGGAUCAGCCUGUCCGUUGGUUCCGACGGUUUGAUAGCGGUUCAAAGGUUGACCGAUUCAAAUGGAUGAACCGAACAAGACUGAUGACUAGUCGAAUCAGCCAGUUUAAACCGGUUUUUAAAACGUUGGUUUAAUGUACUAUCUUUUUGUGAACAUUUGAUAUACAAAUAUUAUUGCAUGGUGUAAUGUAUUACAAAUUAAUUCAUAAGCAUUACAAAAAUAUAAGUUAAAUAUGAUAUAAUUAUUAUAUUCAUGGACAAAAUAUACACUGGUUGAUCUUAUUUCUUAAUAAACAUUACAAAAAUUUACAAAUUAAUCAAUAAAAAAAAACAACCAUAUCUUCUAUAAUCAUUUACAAUGAUGUGACACCAUAACUCAAAUGUAAUACAUUUAACGUGAUACCAUAACCCAAAGGUGAUGCAUUUAAUAGGACACCCUAUAUAUCUCACAUAACUCCAUAUCAAAUUAAGCAUCACUAUAAAUAUACAAUGUCGCUCCUGAAUAUGUCACCAUUUAUCUAUUUUGGUGUCACUUCCAAAUACAUCACCAAUUGGUACCCUUUAUGGUGUUAAUGGAUAAGAUGACACUCUACGUUGAGCCUUAAUAUGAGAUUAUCAUUGGCCUACUAAGCAUUCCCAGAACUCUCAAGAAAUGAAUUUGUAUUCAAGGUAGUUAGAGGUGGUUACUCGUAUCCUCUCAAGAAAUUGAGAUGUCUACCAAGGAGCACAAGGUGCUAAGUCACCAUUGUAAAAACAAAGUACAGAUAUUGGUCCGUGCAAGUUUCUUGGGAGAAGGUAGCAUGUAGUUGGAGUAAACCUUUAUAUUUGAUUUUCAUAUUUAAUAGAAUCGUUAUGCAAUCAAUAAAACCAUGGUUCUUACAUUUGUAGGUUUUGUGUGAGAUUAUGUAGAUGAUUUUUCAUGUAAAUCGCUAAUAUUGUGAUAUAAUUGAAUUUUUAUUCAUAUCCCUAGAUAUUUUGAAUUGGUCAAAAAAGUAAAAAAUAAAAUUUAUUUAAAUUUUGAAUUUUAGGCUUUAAACUCAACACCAUUAACCCUAUAUAUAGAUACAUAGUUUCACAAACCAAGUUAAAGACUUUCAAAUCAAAUCCAGGGAAUCAGAAGAUGAAAGUUUCUCAAAUCACAAUGUGAGAAUUAUCUUAUUAAAACUCAAAGAAAAUUAGUGGCUCACAAAAAAAAUGUAAUUUCAUUCAAUAUCAUUCUUUACAACAAUGAAUAAAGAACCAUAACUCACAAUUUGUAGUAAGGUACAAUGAAACAAAUGUAGCUAUUACACGACACAAUGAAACCAAGUGUUUAGGCUUUUAGGGAUCAUUACCAUAUUCCCCCACCAAUUUGAUUUUCCUCCUACGAGGAAUUCAAAUUAGCUAGAUAUAGCACCAUUUCUAUGGAAGGAUGAUAGAAUAUCAUGUGCUAUUAAUUGGAUCUAUUCAAAGGCCAGAAGUGAAAGGAACGUUGGUAGAUGGUAACCAGGAAUUGCCGGAGAUGAAGUUACCAGCCGUGAACUUUGCUGCUUCAGUUGAGCUAGUAAUCACAUGAUAACCAGCCCAUUUUACCCUACCAGAUGUGGAUGACCCGGGGCCUGUAUUCAUGUACUCUCCAUAAUACAGUGUGUUUAGGGCAAAGUCACCGCUCCAUUCCAACCAACCAGCCGAGUUUAUUAGGCUAUCAAGGUAUGUCUUUAGGAAGACGGUCCGAGAAUAUUCUUUCCAUGGCCUUCCAAGGUAUGUCUUGACCGAGCUUUGGACUGGCUUUAGAUCGGAAGCAGCCGUAACCUUACAGUCGUGUAUGGAAAUUCCAGUGUUUUGGUUAGGGUCAGUCCUGCCUUGGGCAGUUACUGUGUUGAUCUUGUUGGGAGGGUUACGGGCAUAAAUGUUGCAAUUUUGAAACACAACUGCAGCAUUUCCAAAUAUGAAAUCCACAGUCCCAUAUAUAUCGCAUUCUCUAUAGAAUUGUCGCUCAGAGUAAGUGUAGAGAGUAUCUUGGUACCCUUCAAAGCUACAUUGGUAAUACACUGAGAGGUCAGACCCGGAUCGUAGAGCCACUGCCUGGUGGUUGGAUGCUCCAGCGGUGUUACGGAAUGUCAUGCCACGAGC
rnacentral:lncRNA from 1 species